UGGCAAAUUGCACUAUUUGGAUGCCCUGCUGGAUGAUGGCUUAAGGCUCUUGAAGAAUGCUGGAGGCAAGUUGUCCCUGUGCCUUUCUUAACAAUAUCCUGACAGCGCUGCAGGUGCCAGCACAGAUCCAUGCACGUGUGUGCCCUUGCCCUGCGCGAUCCCGUCACAGCUCCUGCGGCUCAGUGGUGCCCGUGCAGAUCAGCAGAGAUGGCAGAAGCUUCUGUGGCUGUUGUGUUACAGGUGUGCCUGCAGGGAAGACUUUCCCAGGUCCUUUGGUGGAUGUUGCAGGCAAGCCCAGCUCCCAUCGCAGGGGUCCUCCGAGGCGAAAGAACAAAGCUACAGGUCACAAGAAACCCCAUGAGCCACUCAAAAUCACGGGACUAAUGGUGAAAGAAUUACUGCAAACCGAACAAGAAGUGGAUGGAGAGGCUGGGCAGAAGGCGGCGUUUCCCGAAGGAAGCAGUGGCUCCAUGACAGACUCUGCUGUAGGACUGGAGGCGAUGACAGGCACAGUCACAGGAGGUUGGGAUCAAGACAUGGAUUAUCUGGGAAAGCUGCUGGAUUAUGGCUUG